rnacentral:rRNA from 1 species
UACGAAGGGGGCUAGCGUUGCUCGGAAUUACUGGGCGUAAAGCGCACGUAGGCGGCUUUCUAAGUCGGGGGGUGAAAUCCUGGAGCUCAACUCCAGAACUGCCUUCGAUACUGGAAAGCUCGAGUCCGGGGAGAGGGUGAGUGGAACUGCGAGUGUAGAGGUGAAAAUUCGUAGAUAUUCGCAAGAACACCAGUGGCGAAGGCGGCUCACUGGCCCGGGUACUGACGCUGAGGUGCGAAAGCGUGGGGAGCAAACAGG